UAGGGAAUCUUCCACAAUGGACGCAAGUCUGAUGGAGCAACGCCGCGUGAGUGAAGAAGGUCUUCGGAUCGUAAAACUCUGUUGUUAGAGAAGAACACGAGUGAGAGUAACUGUUCAUUCGAUGACGGUAUCUAACCAGCAAGUCACGGCUAACUACGUGCCAGCAGCCGCGGUAAUACGUAGGUGGCAAGCGUUGUCCGGAUUUAUUGGGCGUAAAGGGAACGCAGGCGGUCUUUUAAGUCUGAUGUGAAAGCCUUCGGCUUAACCGGAGAAGUGCAUCGGAAACUGGAUAACUUGAGUGCAGAAGAGGGUAGUGGAACUCCAUGUGUAGCGGUGGAAUGCGUAGAUAUAUGGAAGAACACCAGUGGCGAAGGCGGCUACCUGGUCUGCAACUGACGCUGAGGCUCGAAAGCAUGGGUAGCGAACAGGAUUAGAUACCCUGGUAGUCCAUGCCGUAAACGAUGAGUGCUAAGUGUUGGGAGGUUUCCGCCUCUCAGUGCUGCAGCUAACGCAUUAAGCACUCCGCCUGGGGAGUACGACCGCAAGGUUG
rnacentral:rRNA from 1 species